rnacentral:rRNA from 1 species
AUUGAACGCUGGCGGCAGGCCUAACACAUGCAAGUCGAACGGUAACAGGAAGAAGCUUGCUUCUUUGCUGACGAGUGGCGGACGGGUGAGUAAUGUCUGGGAAACUGCCUGAUGGAGGGGGAUAACUACUGGAAGCGGUAGCUAAUACCGCAUAACGUCGCAAGACCAAAGAGGGGGACCUUCGGGCCUCUUGCCAUCGGAUGUGCCCAGAUGGGAUUAGCUAGUAGGUGGGGUAACGGCUCACCUAGGCGACGAUCCCUAGCUGGUCUGAGAGGAUGACCAGCCACACUGGAACUGAGACACGGUCCAGACUCCUACGGGAGGCAGCAGUGGGGAAUAUUGCACAAUGGGCGCAAGCCUGAUGCAGCCAUGCCGCGUGUAUGAAGAAGGCCUGCGGGUUGUAAAGUACUUUCAGCGGGGAGGAAGGGAGUAAAGUUAAUACCUUUACUCAUUGACGUUACCCGCAGAAGAAGCACCGGCUAACUCCGG